CGCCUUCAGAACCUCGAUUCGCGGACAAGGACAAACUCCCCUUUGUCGCCAUGACGACACGAUACACAACUAAGCAUCUGCCACAUCUUAAAUUGACGACGUGCCGCGUUGCCCACAGUCUAAAAGAUUUACUGCCAGAAGCAAGCUGCUGCCCGUUGACACCUGAUGGAUCGCUACAGGGGAACGCUCGGCCCUCUAACAUCGGUCUUUACCCGACGCUUUGGAGAACCAAGCAGCCGGAGGCUGUGGAGAGGAGCGAAGCAAACUACACCCAACUUCAGGGAAUAGGCAUUAUUCUAAGUGUCCUUUUUUGCAUUGUUUUCCAUUGCAUGAGCGGGAAAUGGCAGGGCACAAGCAGGUAGCCUGAAUGACUGAACAUAAAGAGCCUGCAGCCUGAUAUUACAUUAUAUUCAUACUUAAAAUGAUGAGAGGCUCAAAGCAGACCAGUGCACACCUGCCUUUUUUAUUAUGUGAUUUCAACCAAAAUGGAACAAGCCUCCAGAGCUGCUAAUUCCGAAAGCCUGACAGGUAGUGAUGCUCCAGUCAGGGCUCCUUGAUAUCGCACCGUGUUAUACGAGGCAAUCCACACAAAAAUAUGCUUUGAUUAAACCAGCGGACCGC
ensembl:lncRNA